rnacentral:tRNA from 1 species
GGUUACAUAGUGUAGUGGUCAUCACGUCUGCUUUACAAUCCUGGGUUCAAUCCCCAGUGGAACCA